rnacentral:misc_RNA from 1 species
GAUGAAGAACGUAGCGAAAUGCGAUACUUGGUGUGAAUUGCAGAAUCCCGUGAACCAUCGAGUCUUUGAACGCAAGUUGCGCCCGAAGCCACUAGGCCGAGGGCACGCCUGCCUGGGCGUCACACGUCGUUGCCCCCCCCCAUCUACUCCUUCGGGAUUGCGGGGGGCGGAUGAUGGCCUCCCGUGCGCCUAGCCGCGCGGUUGGCAUAAAUACCAAGUCCUCGGCGACGCACGCCACGACAAUCGGUGGUUGCGAAACCUCGGUUGCCCGUCGUAUGCGUUCGUCGCGCAUCGAGGGCUCGAAAAAAUGCUCGGCUCCGGCUCGGCUUUCAACGCGACCCCAGGUCAGGCGGGGUUACCCGCUGAAUUUAAGCAUAUCAAUAAGCGGAGGA